rnacentral:rRNA from 1 species
UACGUAGGGUCCGAGCGUUGUCCGGAUUUAUUGGGCGUAAAGAGCUCGUAGGCGGUUCCGUAAGUCAGAUGUGAAAACUCAGGGCUCAACCCGGAGACGCCAUCUGAUACUGCGGUGACUGGAGUCUGGUAGGGGAACACGGAAUUCCUGGUGUAGCGGUGAAAUGCGCAGAUAUCAGGAGGAACACCGAUGGCGAAGGCAGGUCUCUGGGCCGAUACUGACGCUGAGGAGCGAAAGCGUGGGGAGCGAACAGG